AGAUUGAUGUUGUCCUGAGAAGUUAAAAAAUUUGUCAGUUGUUUUGAUGCUGUAUGAUUUUGUCAGUUUCAUUGCUGUAGGUUAAAUCGAUUGAUCUUUUUCAGUUGUUAUCUGAUGACCAUUCUGUCAAUCAGUUGAGACCCGAGGCACCUGCGGAUACAGUCUACUAAGAAGCGACCCGGAAGCUACAUCUUUGUUUACUGUUUGCUGAUUGGCUAGCGUGUAUCCAUCCAUCUGGAAAGUUGUGACGUAUUGGUCAUUUUCGCUUGACUUCAGGCUGGCGUAACGUGGCGGUGAAAUAGUUGCAUUACUUUGCUUGCUCUUAUUGUUUCGAGUACAUUGUCUAAAUUUAAAGUAAAAUACCACCACAGAAAAGAUACUUAAAAUGGAUAUCCCUGUCAAGAUGUAAUACCAAAGAGGACAAACCUGCUGGACAUCAUCAAGUUGCAUACGACACUCAUUUGACAAGGGUUCUGCUCCCAUGUCGUUUGUCUCCACGGAUUGAGCAGACUGGAAAUCAGCCGAUUCAGAAUGGGACAACUCGUUAAGCAUCAGAUUCAUCGUAACUGCUUGACGAAUCAUCUGGUGGCACUACAAAGUUCGCCCUUCUCUUUGGGUAACCUUGGGGAGCUUUUCGUUCUGGCCAUUCUUCUAUAUUGGCAUACCUUAUCUGAUCGGCAUGGACCUGGAGGACACGAUUAUCAAGCUGGCUUUUAAUCAGAGUUUCCGUAAAGGCUGAGCUUGUAAACUCCGAUCCUCGGUCAUGGAUAAUCCGAAGAGGACACCCAUACCUAGGAUAAAUUUCAUUCAAAA